UACGGGGGGGCAAGGCGUUGUUCGGAAUUACUGGGCGUAAAGGGCUCGUAGGCGGCCAACUAAGUCCGACGUGAAAUCCCAAGGGCUUAACCGUUGAAACUGCGUCGGAUACUGGAAUGGCUUGAAUUCGGGAGAGGGAUGGCAGAAGUUCCAAGGUCGUAGCGGUGAAAAUGCGUAGAUAUCAGGAGGAACACCGGUGGCGAAGGCGGGUCUCUGGGCCGAUACUGACGCUGGAGGAGCGAAAGCCGUGGGGAGCAAACAGGAUAGAA
rnacentral:rRNA from 1 species